rnacentral:rRNA from 1 species
CACGUAGGGGCGAGCGUUGUCCGGAUUCAUUGGGCGUAAAGAGCUCGUAGGCGGCUCAGCAAGUCGGGUGUGAAAACUCCAGGCUCAACCUGGAGACGCCACUCGAUACUGCUGUGGCUAGAGUCCAGUAGGGGAGCGUGGAAUUCCCGGUGUAGCGGUGAAAUGCGCAGAUAUCGGGAGGAACACCAGCGGCGAAGGCGGCGCUCUGGGCUGGGACUGACGCUGAGGAGCGAAAGCGUGGGGAGCAAACAGGAUUA